CGGCAUCAGGAACAAAACCUUCACGUGGUGAUGCUGAUUCCGACAAAUUUGUU
rnacentral:ribozyme from 1 species